rnacentral:rRNA from 1 species
UACAGAGGGUGCGAGCGUUGUCCGGAAUCACUGGGCGUAAAGGGCGCGUAGGUGGCGCCGCAAGUCCAUGGUGAAAGCUCGAUGCUCAACAUCGAGUCGGCCACGGAGACUGCGGGGCUCGAGCACUGUAGGGGCAGAUGGAAUUCCGGGUGUAGCGGUGGAAUGCGUAGAGAUCCGGAGGAACACCAGUGGCGAAGGCGGCUGCCUGGGCCUGGCCUGACGCUGAGGCGCGAAAGCGUGGGGAGCGAUCCGG